rnacentral:rRNA from 1 species
GAUGAACGCUGGCGGCGUGCUUAACACAUGCAAGUCGAACGGGGUACCCAUGACAGAGGCUUCGGCCAAUUGAUUGGAAUACCUAGUGGCGGACGGGUGAGUAACGCGUGAGCAAUCUGCCUUGGAGUGGGGAAUAACAGUUGGAAACAGCUGCUAAUACCGCAUAAUACAGUUGUGUCGCAUGGCACUGACUGUCAAAGAUUUAUCGCUCUGAGAUGAGCUCGCGUCUGAUUAGCUAGUUGGUGAGGUAACGGCUCACCAAGGCGACGAUCAGUAGCCGGACUGAGAGGUUGGCCGGCCACAUUGGGACUGAGACACGGCCCAG